rnacentral:rRNA from 1 species
GACGAACCGUGCGAACGUUGUUCGGAAUCACUGGGCUUAAAGGGCGCGUAGGCGGCUCCGCAAGUCGGGGGUGAAAUCUUUCGGCUUAACCGGAAAAGUGCCUCUGAUACUGCGGAGCUCGAGGGAGGUAGGGGCGGACGGAACUUCCGGUGGAGCGGUGAAAUGCGCAGAUAUCGGAAGGAACGCCGGUGGCGAAAGCGACGUGCUGGACCUCUUCUGACGCUGAGGCGCGAAAGCUAGGGGAGCGAACGGG